UAACGUCCACAUAGACUCGCCCUGCCA
rnacentral:sRNA from 1 species